rnacentral:rRNA from 1 species
GACGAACGCUGGCGGCGUGCCUAAUACAUGCAAGUAGAACGCUGAAGGAGGAGCUUGCUUCUCUGGAUGAGUUGCGAACGGGUGAGUAACGCGUAGGUAACCUGCCUGGUAGCGGGGGAUAACUAUUGGAAACGAUAGCUAAUACCGCAUAAUAGUAGAUGUUGCAUGACAUUUGCUUAAAAGGUGCAAUUGCAUCACUACCAGAUGGACCUCGUUGUAUUAGCUAGUUGGUGGGGUAACGGCUCAACAAGGCGACGAUACAUAGCCGACCUGAGAGGGUGAUCGGCCACACUGGGACUGAGACACGGCCCAGACUCCUACGGGAGGCAGCAGUAGGGAAUCUUCGGCAAUGGACGGAAGUCCGACCGAGCAACGCCGCGUGAGUGAAGAAGGUUUUCGGAUCGUAAAGCUCUGUUGUAAGAGAAGAACGAGUGUGAGAGUGGAAAGUUCACACUGUGACGGUAUCUUACCAGAAAGGGACGGCUAACUACGUG